GGAGUGGUAGCCUUUCCCUUCUCCAGGGGAUCUUCCCAAUCCAGGGAUUGAAACCAGGUCUCCCGCAUUACAGAUCACAUGCUCCAGGGGAAUCUAGGUGCCAAUUUGUGAAAACACUCAAAUGGCCACAUAGACAGGCCACAUGUCAAGGAGUUGAGUUCAUCUAACAAUCAUAAAAGAAGUGAGGCUUCCUGACAAAGUAAGCUGUUUUGGAAGCAGAUUCCCCAGUCCCUAGUCAAGCUUUCUGAUGACGACAAUCCUGGUUGACAUCUUGACUACAACUUCUUUAGACACCCUGGCCUAAAACUACCCAGUGAAUUAUUUUAGUCUGAAAAAGUGAAAGUGAAAGUCACUCAGUCAUGUCCAACUCUUUGUGACCACAUGGAUUGCAGCCCACCAGGCUCCUCUGUCCAUGGAAUUCUCCAGGCAAGAAUACUGGAGUGGGUUGACAUUCUCUUAUCCAGAGGACCUUCCUGACCCAGGAAUCAAACCCAGGUUUCCUGCAUUGCAGGCAGAUUCCUUAUCUGCAGAGCCAUCAGGAAAGCCCUAGUCCCUCAGUCAUAUAUGACUUUUUGUGACUCCAUGGACUAUAGUCCAACAGGCUUCUCUGUCCAUGGAAUUCUCCAGGUAAGAAUAAUGGAGUGGGUAGCUAUUUCCUUCUCUAGGGGAUCUUCCUGACCCAGGGAUCAAACACAAGUCUCUCACACUGCAGGCAGAUUGUUUACUGGCUGAGCCACCAGGGAAGCCCCAAGAAUACUUUAGUCUACUAAAUAAUAUUUUAGUCUACUGAUCCUUAAAUGUAGACGUUUCUUGAUAUUCUGUUUUGGUGCUUCAUUUUCCUUUUCUCUUUCCCAGCUCUUCAUCUUUUCCCAUAACCGUGUCCAGUAUACUGUGAUGUUGUAGCCACCUCUCAGUAGAGGCGGAGUAUACUUCUAUACCCCUGGACUUUGGGAUGAGCAAUGCUUUGGUCAGUAUUGUGUUUAGUGGACUUGACCCAAAGAGUAGUUGAAAUGUGUUUGCAGAGUUAGCUUGCCUUCUAACAUAGGCAGACUUUGGAGACACUUGAAUUUUCACCUCCAGAUGACCACAAUAAAGAGGGUAUCUCAGUAAAGCAGAUCACACAAAUUUUUUUGGUUUCCCAAUGCAUAUAAAAUUAGGGUAACACUAUACUAUGGUCUAUUAAGUGUGCAAUAGCAUUAUGUCUGAAAAACCAAUGUGGCACCUUAAUUUUAAAAUGCUAACCAUCAUCUGAGGUUUUAGUGAAUCAAUCUUUUUGCAAUCGUAAUAUUAAAG
ensembl:lncRNA